GACAGAGGAUGCAAGCGUUAUCCGGAAUGAUUGGGCGUAAAGCGUCUGUAGGUGGCUUUUUAAGUCCGCCGUCAAAUCCCAGGGCUCAACCCUGGACAGGCGGUGGAAACUACCAAGCUGGAGUACGGUAGGGGCAGAGGGAAUUUCCGGUGGAGCGGUGAAAUGCGCAGAUAUCAGGAGGAACACCGGUGGCGAAGGCGGGACUCUGGGCCGAUACUGACGCUGAGGAGCGAAAGCAUGGGGAGCGAACAGGA
rnacentral:rRNA from 1 species